rnacentral:rRNA from 1 species
AGCAGCCGCGGUAAUUCCAGCUCCAAUAGCGUAUAUUAAAGUUGUUGCAGUUAAAAAGCUCGUAGUUGAAUUUCGGGAUCAAGGAAUCGGUCAUGCCUUGGUAUGUACUGGUUUUAUUGGUUCUCACCUUCUAAAGAACCAUAAUGUCAUUUAUUUGAUGUUAUGGGGAAUUAGGACUGUUACCUUAGAAAAAAUUAGAGUGUUUAAAGCAAGCUAACGCUUGAAUACAUUAGCAUGGAAUAAUGAAAUAGGACGUUCGAUCCUAUUUUGUUGGUUUCUAGGAUUGACGUAAUGAUUAAUAGGGAUAGUUGGGGGCAUUAGUAUUCAAUUGUCAGAGGUGAAAUUCUUGGAUUUAUUGAAGACUAACUA